rnacentral:rRNA from 1 species
CACGUAGGGUGCGAGCGUUGUCCGGAAUUAUUGGGCGUAAAGAGCUCGUAGGCGGUGUGUCGCGUCGGCCGUGAAAACCUGCAGCUUAACUGUGGGCUUGCGGUCGAUACGGGCAUCACUGGAGUUCGGCAGGGGAGACUGGAAUUCCUGGUGUAGCGGUGAAAUGCGCAGAUAUCAGGAGGAACACCGGUGGGCGAAAGCGGCGCACUGGACCACAACUGACGC